GAUGAACGCUGGCGGCGUGCCUAACACAUGCAAGUCGAGCGAACAGACCAGGAGCUUGCUCCUCUGACGUUAUCGGCGGACGGAAGAUUAACACGUGGUUAACCUACCUAUACGACUGGGAUAACUUCGCGAAACCGGAGCUACUAACCAAUAAUAUAUUGAACCGCAUUGUUCCCUCGUGAAAUACGGUUUUGCUGUCACUUAUAGCUGGAUCCGCGCCGCAUUAGCUAGUUGGUAAGGUAACGGCUUACCAACGCAACGAUGCGUAGCCGACCUGAGAGGGUGGUCGGCUACACGGGAAGAGAGACAGGGUCCAGACUCCUACGGGAGGACGCAGUAGGGAAUCUUCCGCGAGGGGGGAGUGCGUGACGGAGCAAAGUGGGGGGAGGGAUGAAGGUGUUCGGAUGGUAGAGUGAUGUAGUUAGUGGGGAAGAAAUGCGUAAGUACCCGGGAAGGUAUUGACGGUACCGGGUGAGAAAGCCACGGCUAACUACGUG
rnacentral:rRNA from 1 species